UCGGGUUGGGCAGUGGCCACAUUGUUAUCAUUAGGCUGGCCCCAGAACAGGUGCUNUAUGGCUGUCGUCAGCUCGUGUCGUGAGAAUGUUGGGUUAAGUCCCGCAACGAGCGCAACCCUCGCCCUUAGUUGCCAGCAUUUAGUUGGGCACUCUAAGGGGACUGCCGGUGAUAAGCCGAGAGGAAGGUGGGGAUGACGUCAAGUCCUCAUGGCCCUUACGGGCUGGGCUACACACGUGCUACAAUGGUGGUGACAGUGGGCAGCGAGACAGCGAUGUCGAGCUAAUCUCCAAAAUGCCAUCUCAGUUCGGAUUGCACUCUGCAACUCGAGUGCAUGAAGUUGGAAUCGCUAGUAAUCGCAGAUCAGCAUGCUGCGGUGAAUACGUUCCCGGG
rnacentral:rRNA from 1 species